rnacentral:rRNA from 1 species
UACGUAGGGUGCGAGCGUUGUCCGGAAUUAUUGGGCGUAAAGAGCUUGUAGGCGGUCUGUCGCGUCUGCUGUGAAAAUCCGGGGCUCAACCCCGGACUUGCAGUGGGUACGGGCAGACUAGAGUGUGGUAGGGGUAGAGGGAAUUCCCAGUGUAGCGGUGAAAUGCGUAGAUAUUGGGAAGAACACCUGAGGCGAAGGCGGGUUGCUGGGCUGAUACUGACGCUGAGGCGCGAAAGCCAGGGGAGCAAACGGG